rnacentral:rRNA from 1 species
UACGUAGGGGGCAAGCGUUGUCCGGAAUCAUUGGGCGUAAAGAGCGUGUAGGCGGCCACUUAAGUCCUGCGUGAAAUCUUGCGGCUCAACCGCAAGCGGUCGUGGGAAACUGGGUGGCUAGAGUGCGGGAGAGGAGAGUGGAAUUCCUGGUGUAGCGGUGGAAUGCGCAGAUAUCAGGAAGAACACCCGUGGCGAAGGCGGCUCUCUGGAACGCAACUGACGCUGAGACGCGAAAACGUGGGGAGCAAACAGG